rnacentral:misc_RNA from 1 species
GCGUUCGCUGUGAUAUUGCUGGAAUAUUGCUAAAAGCGGCGUAAAACCAUACUCUCUCACUCACUCAUUUUGCUCCCGAAUAGAAGACGCGCAUCAUCAGGCAGCUGCUGUGUGAUUGAGUGUAAAUCAUCGAUAAUUGUGUUUAGCAAGCCACGUUGACAGAACAUCUGCCAAAUCUUCAAGAGUUCUGGAGCCUACCGCUGGUCAAAUAUGCCGGCUCUGUGACUACAGAAUAUUAGCGACAGCGACCAAAGACUACUCGACUUGAGAUCGUAACUACAUGAGACAACUGUGCGCCAUCAUAAUACCAAUUGCUUUCUGGCACCCAUAAGUGGAAACGGCCGUAGAACUACUGCAGGAAAAGAAUAUAGAAUCUGCAUCUAAGU